UACGUAGGGGGCUAGCGUUGUCCGGAUUUAUUGGGCGUAAAGAGCUCGUAGGUGGUUCGGUUAGUCGGAUGUGAAAUCUCCAGGCUCAACCUGGAGGGGUCAUUCGAUACUGCCGUGACUAGAGUUCGGUAGAGGAGUGUGGAAUUCCCGGUGUAGCGGUGAAAUGCGCAGAUAUCGGGAGGAACACCAGUGGCGAAGGCGACUACCUGGCCUGUUCUUGACGCUGAGGCGCGAAAGCUAGGGGAGCAAACGGG
rnacentral:rRNA from 1 species